rnacentral:rRNA from 1 species
UACAGAGGGUGCAAGCGUUGUUCGGAAUUAUUGGGCGUAAAGCGCGUGUAGGCGGCUUUGCAAGUCGGGUGUGAAAGCCCUCAGCUCAACUGAGGAAGUGCGCCCGAAACUGCAGAGCUUGAGUACCGGAGAGGAUGGUGGAAUUCCCCAAGUAGAGGUGAAAUUCGUAGAUAUGGGGAGGAACACCGGUGGCGAAGGCGGCAUCCUGGACCGGUAUUGACGCUGAGGCGCGAAAGCUAGGGGAGCAAACGGG